GACGAACGCUGGCGGCGUGCCUAAUACAUGCAAGUAGAACGCUGAAGGAGGAGCUUGCUUCUCUGGAUGAGUUGCGAACGGGGGAGUAACGCGUAGGUAAACUGCCUCGUAGCGGGGGGUAAAUAUUGGAAACGAUAGCUAAUAUCGCAUAAUAGUAGAUGUCGCAUGAGAUUUACUUAAAAGGUGCAAUUGCAUCACUACCAGAUGGUCCUGCGUUGUAUUAGCUAGUUGGUGAGGUAACGGCUCACCAAGGCAACGAUACAUAGCCGACCUGAGAGGGGGGUCGGCCACACUGGGACCGAGACAACGCCCAGACUUCUACGGGAGGCAGCAGGAAGGGAUCUUCGGGAAUGGACGGAAGUCUGACCGAGCAAAGCCGGGUGGAGGAAUAAGGGUUUCGGAUCCGAAAGCUCUGUUGUAAGAGAAGGAAGAGUGUUGGAGUGGAAAGUUCACACUGUGACGGUAUCUUAUCAGAAAGGGACGGCUAACUACGUG
rnacentral:rRNA from 1 species